GGCGAACGCUGGCGGCGUGCCUAAUACAUGCAAGUCGAACGCUUCUUUCCUCCCGAGUGCUUGCACUCAAUUGGAAAGAGGAGUGGCGGACGGGUGAGUAACACGUGGGUAACCUACCCAUCAGAGGGGGAUAACACUUGGAAACAGGUGCUAAUACCGCAUAACAGUUUAUGCCGCAUGGCAUAAGAGUGAAAGGCGCUUUCGGGUGUCGCUGAUGGAUGGACCCGCGGUGCAUUAGCUAGUUGGUGAGGUAACGGCUCACCAAGGCCACGAUGCAUAGCCGACCUGAGAGGGUGAUCGGCCACACUGGGACUGAGACACGGCCCAGACUCCUACGGGAGGCAGCAGUAGGGAAUCUUCGGCAAUGGACGAAAGUCUGACCGAGCAACGCCGCGUGAGUGAAGAAGGUUUUCGGAUCGUAAAACUCUGUUGUUAGAGAAGAACAAGGACGUUAGUAACUGAACGUCCCCUGACGGUAUCUAACCAGAAAGCCACGGCUAACUACGUG
rnacentral:rRNA from 1 species